UACGGAGGGGGCGAGCGUUGUUCGGAAUCAUUGGGCGUAAAGGGCGCGUAGGCGGCCGUCCAAGUCGGGUGUGAAAUCCCUCGGCUCAACCGAGGAACUGCACUCGAUACUGGUCGGCUAGAGUCCGGGAGGGGAUGGUGGAAUUCCCAGUGUAGCGGUGAAAUGCGUAGAUAUCUGGAGGAACACCGGUGGCGAAGGCGGCAUCCUGGACCAUGACUGACGCUGAGGAGCGAAAGCCAGGGGAGCAAACGGG
rnacentral:rRNA from 1 species